rnacentral:rRNA from 1 species
AGUGAACGCUGGCGGCAGGCCUAACACAUGCAAGUCGAACGGCAGCACAAGAGAGCUUGCUCUCUGGGUGGCGAGUGGCGGACGGGUGAGGAAUGCAUCGGAAUCUGCCCAUUUGUGGGGGAUAACCUCGGGAAACCGGGACUAAUACCGCAUACGACCUACGGGUGAAAGCAGGGGAUCUUCGGACCUUGCGCAGAUGGAUGAGCCGAUGCCGGAUUAGCUAGUUGGAGGGGUAAAGGCCCACCAAGGCGACGAUCCGUAGCUGGUCUGAGAGGAUGAUCAGCCACACUGGGACUGAGACACGGCCCAGACUCCUACGGGAGGCAGCAGUGGGGAAUAUUGGACAAUGGGAGCAAGCCUGAUCCAGCCAUGCUGCGUGUGUGAAGAAGGCCUUCGGGUUGUAAAGCACUUUUGUUGGGAAAGAAAAGCAGCCGGUUAAUACCCGGUUGUCAUGACGGUACCCAAAGAAUAAGCACCGGCUAACUUCGUG